AACGAACGCUGGCGGCAUGCCUAACACAUGCAAGUCGGACGCUUGAUCGGGGCUUGCCCCGAUUGGGAGUGGCGCACGGGUGAGUAGCGCGUGGGAACCUGUCCCGGAGUGGGGGAUAACCGCGGGAAACUGCGGCUAAUACCGCAUGAUCCCGGUUUUGACCGCAAGGUUGGGGCCGGGCAAAGAUUUAUCGCUCCGGGAGGGGCCCGCGUCGGAUUAGGUAGUUGGCGGGGUAACGGCCCACCAAGCCUUUGAUCCGUAGCUGGUCUG
rnacentral:rRNA from 1 species